rnacentral:rRNA from 1 species
AAGAUAAUGACGGUACCCGCAGAAGAAGCCCCGGCUAACUCCGUGCCAGCAGCCGCGGUAAUACGGAGGGUGCGAGCGUUGUCCGGAUUUAUUGGGUUUAAAGGGUACGUAGGUGGUAGAUUAAGUCAGAGGUGAAAGCCCACAGCUCAACUGUGGAACUGCCUUUGAUACUGGUUUACUUGAGUACAUUUGAGGUAGGCGGAAUUUAUGGUGUAGCGGUGAAAUGCAUAGAUACCAUAAGGAACUCCGAUAGCGAAGGCAGCUUACUAAACUGUUACUGACACUGAGGUACGAAAGCAUGGGGAGCGAACAGGAUUAGAUACCCUGGUAGUCCAUGCCGUAAAC